UCACUCAUAGUGAAAGCAAGAAAGCUGGUUUCCCAGAGACUAUGAGUUGAGGAGGAAGUGGAAGUUUGUCGGCUUAGACCUGGUGUCAUUUCAUCAGUGUUAAACUUCCUGGCUCAUCUUUGAAGAGUAUGUGCCAGAAAGACCACAACCAAGCAGCCUUGAGAUCUUAGACAGCAUCUCCCUCAGUUCUGCCGGGCCAGCUCAGCUUCCCUUCAGAAGAAGUUCCACCAGAUGAAGGAGCCUUUUGAGAGGCAGCUGGCAUCGUGAUUGGACUGUACUUUAGUCUGUUCCAAUCCAGCUUCAGCUCCAGAGACGGCAGGCGGGACGAGUCAACGGAGGCCGGGUCCACGAAGGCAUGCAGCUGAGUACAAUCCAGAAAACAACAGAGGAGGAGUGCAGUGGCCCAGGGCCAGAACAACC
ensembl:lncRNA